UGGAACAGGAACAGAUGUGCUACUAAAAUAGAGACAUCCUAUUAUCCUGGAAAUGUACUCCAUAAUGAAGAACAAGGGAAAAAAGAUCAGAAGAUUCAAAGAGUUAGCUGGACUAUGUCUCAAGGUGGAUGACUCUAUGGAAACUUUGAGCUGUAUGUAACGACCUUCUGAUCAUCCAUUUACCUUGCUUUGGUACGUUAGGACUUUAACAGAAACUGCCUAAUGUGCAGAAUGCAUCUGCCUUCAUAAAUCAUAUAUAAAGUUGAUAAAAGCAAAGAGCACAGCCUUAGGAAAACCUAACAGUUCCUUGUGGUAUAAAACUGAGUUGCUGGUUUGCAAACUUUCUUCUAUUUUAAG